rnacentral:rRNA from 1 species
AACGAACGCUGGCGGCAUGCCUAACAUAUGCAAGUCGAACGAGACCUUCGGGUCUAGUGGCGCACGGGUGCGUAACGCGUGGGAACCUGCCCUUAGGUUCGGAAUAACUCCCCGAAGGGGUGCUAAUACCGGAUAAUGUCUUCGGACCAAAGAUUUAUCGCCUUUGGAUGGGCCCGCGUUGGAUUAGCUAGUUGGUAGGGUAAAAGCCUACCAAGGCGACGAUCCAUAGCUGGUCUGAGAGGAUGAUCAGCCACACUGGGACUGAGACACGGCCCAGACUCCUACGGGAGGCAGCAGUGGGGAAUAUUGGACAAUGGGCGAAAGCCUGAUCCAGCAAUGCCGCGUGAGUGAUGAAGGCCUUAGGGUUGUAAAGCUCUUUUACCCGGGAUGAUAAUGACAGUACCGGGAGAAUAAGCUCCGGCUAACUCCGUG